rnacentral:rRNA from 1 species
CGUAGGUGCGAGCGUUGUCCGGAAUUAUUGGGCGUAAAGGGCUCGUAGGCGGUUUGUCGCGUCGGGAGUGAAACCUUGGGCUUAACUCAGGGCUUGCUUUCGAUACGGGCAGACUAGAGGUAUGCAGGGGAGAACGGAAUUCCUGGUGUAGCGGUGAAAUGCGCAGAUAUCAGGAGGAACACCGGUGGCGAAGGCGGUUCUCUGGGCAUGAUCUGACGCUGAGGAGCGAAAGUGUGGGGAGCGAACAGGAUU